rnacentral:lncRNA from 1 species
UGGCACAACGUUGGACCAACGUAGAAAUAUCUUUUCUUAUGUUGGCACUAUGUUGGUCCAAGGUAGGUAUUUCUCAUUUUUUAUGUUGGCAAUUCGUUGGUCUAUUGUUUCAACCAAAUUACAAUGUAUGCUGCAUGAGUAGCUGUAUAUGAUAAAUACUCCGGAGCGCAUUUGAUCUUUUUUUGUAUUCCAAACUGCCAAAGUUUAAGGUAGCAAUUCUGUAUUUUUGUAUUACCCAUUGUUGUUACUGUCCUUGUUUUUUUCAUGAACUUUGCCUCUUUAAUUUUAUAUUUUGUGUGACGCUAAGAUAUUUCUUUGGCAAUGUUUGAUGGAUCGACCAGAUAAACUCUGUGUCAUUUGGUGUCUUGUAAAGAGUUGUCUCAUUAGCAAUCAUACCACAUCUUCUUUUUUCAUAUCAAUUUCAUUUAUUUCUUUAACAGAACAAAUGACGUAUGGCUUAUGGUUAGGCGAUCAUACAAAUAGUUUUUUCAGAGAUGUAAUUUUAGUUGUAUUGGUUCCAGAUCCAGAAUGAAAAUUAAAUAAUUCAGAAG